AUGGUUCAGUAUGUGGAUUUGUUGAUUGCUGAAUCUACAUAUUCCAUGGUUCAGAUUAAAAUGACACAAUCUUCAGUUUAUUUGCAUGACACUGUCAGCAUAUACUGCUUGUGUACAGUAUGUUUACUCCAUGUUCAGAUUAAAAUGUGUCUCCAUAUCUUUUUUAGCCACAAGCAGAUCUUAGAUGUAAGGUUAGCAUUAGCUGGCCCUUAUUCUUUUUUAGCCAUUCAUCUUUGUAUAUGCUCUGCUUGUCUAGAGGGAUUUGAAUGCUUUGCUUGUCUGUCAGCAUAUUUGGAAUACAGAGAUGAUUGUGGCUGUACUCCAUAUAUGUAG
rnacentral:rRNA from 1 species